ACGGAAGGCAGCAGUGAGGAAUAUUGGUCAAUGGACGGAAGUCUGAACCAGCCAUGCCGCGUGAAGGAAUAAGGCCCUAUGGGUCGUAAACUUCUUUUGUGGUGGAGCAAUAAGGUGCACGUGUGCAUCGAUGAGAGUACAUCACGAAUAAGCAUCGGCUAACUCCGUGCCAGCAGCCGCGGUAAUACGGAGGAUGCGAGCGUUAUCCGGAUUUAUUGGGUUUAAAGGGUGCGUAGGCUGUUCUUCAAGUCAGAGGUGAAAUCCCGGGGCUCAACCCUGGAACUGCCUUUGAUACUGGAGGGCUUGAAUACUGUUGCCGUGGGAGGAAUGAGUAGUGUAGCGGUGAAAUGCAUAGAUAUUACUCAGAACACCGAUUGCGAAGGCAUCUCACGAAGCAGCGAUUGACGCUGAGGCACGAAAGCGUGGGGAUCAAACAGGAUUAGAUACCCUGGUA
rnacentral:rRNA from 2 species